AACGAACGCUGGCGGCAUGCCUAAUACAUGCAAGUCGAGCGAGACCUCCGGGUCCAGUGGCCUAUGGGUGUGUAAGGCGACGGAACCGGCCCUUAGGUUUGGAAUAACUCCCCGAAAGGGGUGCCAAUAGCGGAUAAUGUCUACGGACGAAAGAUAUAUCGCCCCUGGAUGGGCCGGCGUUGGAUUAGCUAGUUGCGAGGGUAAAAGACUACCAAGGCGACGAUCGAUAGCUGGUCAGUGAGACAGAUCAGCCACACUGAGAGUGGGACACGGCCCAGACUCCUACGGGAGGCGCCAGUGGGGGAUGUUGCACAGUCGGCUGAAGCCUGAUCCAGCACUGCCGCUUGAGUUAUGUAGGCCUUAGAGUUGUAAAGCGCUAUUACCCAGGAUCGUAAUGACGGUACCGGGAGAGUAAGCUCCGGCUAACUCCGUG
rnacentral:rRNA from 1 species